rnacentral:misc_RNA from 1 species
GAUGAAGAACGUAGCGAAAUGCGAUACGUAAUGUGAAUUGCAGAAUUCAGUGAAUCAUCGAAUCUUUGAACGCAUAUUGCGCUCUUUGGUAUUCCGAAGAGCAUGCUUGUUUGAGUAUCAGUAAACACCUCAAAGCUUUUGGAUUUUUUAAUCGAAAAGCUUUGGACUUGAGCAAUCCCAACACCAAUCUUUUUGAGAUCGGUGGCGGGUUGCUUGAAAUGCAGGUGCAGCUGGACAUUCUCCUGCGCUAAAAGCAUAUUCAUUUAGUCCCGUCAAACGGAUUAUUACUUUUGCUGCAGCUAACAUAAAGGGAGUUUGACCGUAUUGGCUGACUGAUGCAGGAUUUCACAAGGGUCGGCAACGAUUCUUGUUAAACUCGAUCUCAAAUCAAGUAAGACUACCCGCUGAACUUAAGCAUAUCAAUAAGCGGAGGA